GACGAACGCUGGCGGCGUGCUUAACACAUGCAAGUCGAACGGAAAGGCCCUUCGGGGUACUCGAGUGGCGAACGGGUGAGUAACACGUGGGUGAUCUGCCCUGCACUUUGGGAUAAGCCUGGGAAACUGGGUCUAAUACCGAAUAGGACCACGCGCUUCAUGGUGUGUGGUGGAAAGCUUUUGCGGUGUGGGAUGGGCCCGCGGCCUAUCAGCUUGUUGGUGGGGUAAUGGCCUACCAAGGCGACGACGGGUAGCCGGCCUGGGAGGGUGACCGGCCACACUGGGACUGAGAUACGGCCCAGACUCCUACGGGAGGCAGCAGUGGGGAAUAUUGCACAAUGGGCGCAAGCCUGAUGCAGCGACGCCGCGUGAGGGAUGACGGCCUUCGGGUUGUAAACCUUUUUCACCAGGGACGAAGCGUAAGUGACGGUACCUGGAGAAGAAGCACCGGCCAACUACGUG
rnacentral:rRNA from 1 species